GAGCAAAUCCAUCUAAAUUAAUUAUGAUGUGACAUUUGCAUUGAAGGUUGGCAAUAAUAAUAGUCGAUUCUCCGUGCCUAUCAAAAUUUCAAUUUUGAAUAAGGCCUCGAACAAGUCGCUACAUC